rnacentral:rRNA from 1 species
UACGUAGGGUACAAGCGUUGUCCGGAAUUAUUGGGCGUAAAGAGCUCGUAGGCGGUCUGUCACGUCGGCUGUGAAAUCCCGAGGCUCAACCUCGGGUCUGCAGUCGAUACGGGCAAACUAGAGUAUUGCAGGGGAGACUGGAAUUCCUGGUGUAGCGGUGAAAUGCGCAGAUAUCAGGAGGAACACCGGUGGCGAAGGCGGGUCUCUGGGCAAUAACUGACGCUGAGGAGCGAAAGCGUGGGGAGCGAACAGG